rnacentral:rRNA from 1 species
AUUGAACGCUGGCGGCAGGCCUAACACAUGCAAGUCGAACGAGUGGCGGACGGGUGAGUAAUGUAUCGGAACGUGCCCGAUGGCGGGGGAUAACUACUGGAAACGGUGGCUAAUACCGCAUACCAUUCGAUGACCCCAUAUGGGAUUAGCUAGUUGGUAGGGUAACGGCUCACCAAGGCGACGAUCCGUAGCUGGUCUGAGAGGAUGACCAGCCACACUGGGACUGAGACACGGCCCAGACUCCUACGGGAGGCAGCAGUGGGGAAUAUUGCACAAUGGGCGAAAGCCUGAUGCAGCCAUGCCGCGUGUAUGAAGAAGGCCUUCGGGUUGUAAAGUACUUUCAGUCGGGAAGCGUUACCUACAGAAGAAGCACCGGCUAACUCCGUGCCAGCCGCCGCGGUAAUUC